rnacentral:sRNA from 1 species
UAUUUGUUUUAAAUCGCCCAUAUCCUGUAUAUCUUCCAAUAAUAACGUUUCUUUUCUUUCUUAUCUUCCGUUUUUUCCCAUAAAUAAUCCCUUUUCGGACAUUUUUUAUAUUGGCGCAUAUAAAGUUCCUAAGUUUGACGUAAUGCGGGUGAAAUAAUUUAAAUUCAAAUUAUAAUUAAAUUAGUUUUUUUUUAUAUAAUAAUUUAUUGCAAGGUUACAGGAUAACAUUCCCAUAAUUAUACCAAUUGUUACGACCAGGAUUGGGGCCGAUAUUAUUGGGUAAGAAAAGGAAAAAAUGUCGGGAACCCAAACGAAAACCACCGGAAAAUACGAACCGAGAAACAGGAACAGGAAGUUCCGAAUUACGUAACGAUAUAAUAAAGGAACCCUAUCCCGAUUAUUAAAUUAGCGUAAUUACGAUUACCGCCAAGGAAGUAAUUAGCCCUAAUAGGGAUUAUUUAGAGGUAAUCGUAAUUAUUUACACGAAAUAAUUACUAGUUUAUAUAAGAGACGCUUAUUACCAUAUAAAUAAAAUUUAGCUCAGGAUUGCCUAACAGCAAUUAAAUUCGUUAUAUAAUCGAUUAUAAUUUCACCCCAGUUAUUAAGAAACCCAAUUACCCAAACAGACGUUUAGUUGCUUUAACCCAUUGUAUUUUAUUAUAAAAACAGGUUACCCGAUAUUUUGAUCGUAGCAUUUUAUUAAUUUAAUUUUAACAAUAUAAACCCCACAAAUACUUUUGCCAAACCGCUAUAUUCCUCCAAAAGCUCCUGAAACUUUUUAAUCUUCCAUAAGCCUUUACGUUAUAGGAAAUAUAAUGGAUUACCAUUUGUUUUAGUUUUUCGGGAACCAAUUCUCCAUAGCAAAAUCGUACCAAUAUUAUAAUACCGUUAAGGUUGUUUUUAGGUAUUUUGGAUUUAACCAAAGUUUGGUGGAGUUUUUGCAAUAAUACGUUUAUUAGUCGAGUGAUUUUAUAGCGAUUUGCUAGAAUAUAUAUUUGGUAAUGGUAAAUAAAUAUAUCCGCGUCCGGCCCGCCUUUUAUAUUAAAUAUACCGUUUUUGGUGAAACCGGAAAGGUCUAUGCGCCAUAACCGUUCAAAGUUAUCCCAUAGAAUUUCUCUGUUUGUUUUUUUCUUUAUGGCCGUAUAUAUAACAAUAGUAUUUUUACCCCAUUUAUAUACGUUCUUCCUUUUGCAACAUCUGCACUUUUUGCAACAUUUUUUGGUUAACGCGAAAGAGCCCCAACUGUCGACCCCAAAAAGUUCGACUAACCUUUUUUCGUUUGGGUCCAAAAUUUCAGGUUGAAACUGUUCGAUUUGGGUGCAUUUACCAAAUUAAGUUUCAAACGCGUUUACCUUUAUGGGACUGGUGGAAACUUUUGAUGCAGGCGAAACGAGCUGCUUUGGAAUAUUAUAAUUUCCGCUGUAGACAAAAUGCCAAAAACUAACGAAAAUUAGCUCGUUAACGUUAUCCCAUUCGACCGAUUAUUUAAUUGCUUUUUUAAAUCCCCCUUCUACCAAUACCUUUAAAAUAGCAAAUUGGUGAGCGAUAAAAUAGGAAUAUAUGGUAAAUUCUCGUUUCGCCGGGCCAACGAUAAAGCGGAAUGGACCAGACGUGGCGAUAUUAAAUUAAUUUGCGAUUAAUUUGGGCGAAACACCUAUAUUUUCAAUUAAUUUACCUUUUUUUCGAAAUGCUUUCCAUACCUUCCCAAAAUCUCAUAUUCGGGAUGGACCAAAUAUUGUGUAAAAUUUGGAAAAAAGGUUAUUAUAUUGCUAAGUCGUGGAAAAUACGUGGAAAAUACGUGGUAAGUGUUAAAAGUGCGAGGAGCAAUUUGGUAACCCGAUAUAUAUUAUAUCGAUUUUUAUAUAUUUGUAAUUAACCUUCUGUUUUUAAUUUCGCUUCCAUAUUAAAUGGAAUUUUUUGGGUGGGAUCUUACCAGGGAAAUUAACCCUAUUAA